rnacentral:rRNA from 1 species
CCUACGGGUGGCAGCAGUGGGGAAUAUUGGGCAAUGGAGGCAACUCUGACCCAGCAACGCCGCGUGAGUGAUGAAGGUCUUCGGAUUGUAACACUCUUUAAGUGGGGACGAAGAAAGUGACUGUACCCACAGAAUAAGCCUCGGCUAACUACGUGCCAGCAGCCGCGGUAAUACGUAGGAGGCAAGCGUUAUCCGGAAUGACUGGGCUUAAAGGGUGCGUAGGGGGUUUGACAAGUGAGUAGCGUAAUUCCGGGUCUCAACUUCGGAACUACUCCUAAACCUGUUGGGCUUGAGUGGAGGAGAGGUGAAUGGAAUGCCUGGGGUAGCGGUGGAAUGCGUAGAUAGUAGGAGGAACACCAGCGGCGAAAGCGAUUCACUGGACUGUAACUGACACUGAGGCACGAAAGCGUGGGGAGCAAACAGGAUUAGAUACCCGUGUAGUC